ensembl:lncRNA
AGCAAGGGCAGAAUUCAAAGUGGAAGGAAUUGUGGUGCUUACCAUCUGUAAUCUCUCAGAGGGAAGAAUCAUCUCAUGCUAUGAUUAUAGAGAAGGAUGGUCUUCACCUGGCCUGUGGGCCAGAGAUUAUAGGCAGAGAGAUGGGGCGAAGAGAUGACAUUAUACCGAGGGAGAAUUUCAGUCCAUUCAUCUCUGCACCACGACUGCUGAUGGGACUCUGGCGCAAGAGCCUGCUUGCGGCGAUGCAAGCCUGUUGCAGUGCCUUUUGGGUUUGCCUUCUCAGCAUGGAAUAA